ACUGCUCUCUGAAAUAUGGCUGGCAUCUAGACAGCUGCAAGGCCGCAGUGUUAAGAACAAGGAAGAAGUUUUGAAAGAUGUGCCAGAAAAAUGAAGUCAUCCCUUUAGGUGAACACAGGUAAUUUUCCUUUUCUGGUCCACAUAAGCAAGUAAGUUUGGCUAA
rnacentral:lncRNA from 1 species